rnacentral:rRNA from 1 species
GUAGGUGGCAAGCGUUGUCCGGAAUUAUUGGGCGUAAAGCGCGCGCAGGCGGUUCUUUAAGUCUGAUGUGAAAGCCCACGGCUCAACCGUGGAGGGUCAUUGGAAACUGGAGAACUUGAGUACAGAAGAGGAAAGCGGAAUUCCACGUGUAGCGGUGAAAUGCGUAGAGAUGUGGAGGAGCACCAGUGGCGAAGGCGGCUUUCUGGUCUGUAACUGACGCUGAGGCGCGAAAGCGUGGGGAGCAAACAGGAUUAGAUACCCUGGUAGUCCACGCCGUAAACGAUGAGUGCUAAGUGUUAGGGGGGUUUCCGCCCCCCUUAGUGCUGCAGCUAACGCAUUAAGCACUCCGCCUGGGAGUACGGCCGCAAGGCUG